AGUCGAACGGUAACAGAAAGAAGCUUGCUUCUUUGCUGACGAGUGGCGGACGGGUGAGUAAUGCCUGGGAAUUUGCCUUGAGGUGGGGGACAACAGUUGGAAACGACUGCUAAUACCGCAUAAUACCUACGGGUCAAAGGGGGCUUCGGCUCUCGCCUUUAGAGAAGCCCAAGUGGGAUUAGAUAGUUGGUGGGGUAAUGGCCUACCAAGUCAACGAUCCCUAGCUGGUCUGAGAGGAUGAUCAGCCACACUGGAACUGAGACACGGUCCAGACUCCUACGGGAGGCAGCAGUGGGGAAUAUUGCACAAUGGGCGAAAGCCUGAUGCAGCCAUGCCGCGUGUGUGAAGAAGGCCUUCGGGUUGUAAAGCACUUUCAGUAGGGAGGAAGGUUUAGUAGUUAAUACCUGCUAGAUUUGACGUUACCUACAGAAGAAGCACCGGCUAACUCCGUGCCAGCAGCCGCGGUAAUACGGAGGGUGCGAGCGUUAAUCGGAAUUACUGGGCGUAAAGCGUACGCAGGCGGCCAUUUAAGUCAGAUGUGAAAGCCCCGGGCUCAACCUGGGAACUGCAUUUGAAACUGGAUGGCUAGAGUGCGGCAGAGGGUGGUAGAAUUUCAGGUGUAGCGGUGAAAUGCGUAGAGAUCUGAAGGAAUACCGAUGGCGAAGGCAGCCACCUGGGCCGACACUGACGCUCAUGUACGAAAGCGUGGGUAGCAAACAGGAUUAGAUACCCUGGUAGUCCACGCCGUAAACGCUGUCUACUAGCAGCUCGCCUCGUUUAGAGGGGUUUUGCGCAGCUAACGCGUUAAGUAGACCGCCUGGGGAGUACGG
rnacentral:rRNA from 1 species